GAUGAACGCUGGCGGCGUGCCUAAUACAUGCAAGUCGAGCGAACGGACGAGAAGCUUGCUUCUCUGAUGUUAGCGGCGGACGGGUGAGUAACACGUGGAUAACCUACCUAUAAGACUGGGAUAACUUCGGGAAACCGGAGCUAAUACCGGAUAAUAUUUUGAACCGCAUGGUUCAAAAGUGAAAGACGGUCUUGCUGUCACUUAUAGAUGGAUCCGCGCUGCAUUAGCUAGUUGGUAAGGUAACGGCUUACCAAGGCAACGAUGCAUAGCCGACCUGAGAGGGUGAUCGGCCACACUGUAACUGAGACACGGUCCAGACUCCUACGGGAGGCAGCAGUAGGGAAUCUUCCGCAAUGGGCGAAAGCCUGACGGAGCAACGCCGCGUGAGUGAUGAAGGUCUUCGGAUCGUAAAACUCUGUUAUUAGGGAAGAACAUAUGUGUAAGUAACUGUGCACAUCUUGACGGUACCUAAUCAGAAAGCCACGGCUAACUACGU
rnacentral:rRNA from 1 species